UACGGAGGGGGCUAGCGUUAUUCGGAAUUACUGGGCGUAAAGCGCACGUAGGCGGCUUUGCAAGUUAGAGGUGAAAGCCUGGAGCUCAACUCCAGAACUGCCUUUAAAACUGCAUCGCUUGAAUCCAGGAGAGGUGAGUGGAAUUCCGAGUGUAGAGGUGAAAUUCGUAGAUAUUCGGAAGAACACCAGUGGCGAAGGCGGCUCACUGGUCCGGUACUGACGCUGAGGUGCGAAAGCGUGGGGAGCAAACAGGG
rnacentral:rRNA from 1 species